AAUACUUAUGUAAAAAAAAAGAUAUAAUGGGGAAACGUAAAACAAUCUGGCUCGUUGCAAAAAAUGUACAUUACGUUUAUUGAUGGUAGCUCGCGAAGCUCCUCGUGAAUAUCGAGUGAUUACAAAGAGGCGCUUGAUUUAAAGGGUCGAGUAAUUUACGAAGCAACACGUGAUACGCUAGUACACGAUCGUUCCGUAAGGACUCAAAUCAUGUCCUUUGUUGCAUUUUUUUUCAUUCCUUUUUUUUCUUUUUUUUUUUUUCUCUUUUUUUUUUUUUAACAAGGAAAAAAAAAGUCCGCUACGGACUAUAGAAAUCGCUAUGACGUCUAUAUCGUUUUUUUCGAUCUCUCGUUUUUUGUCCUCUUUUCAUCAUUAUUAUUUCAUUCCUCCCUGGUCUCGAAUCGAAGAGAUAAGGAGGAAUGAAAAAAACGGAAUAAUAUUGGAUGAACGGGAGAUGAAUACAAUGAAAUAUUAAUAUUUUCAUCCGAUUGAUACAGGCAAAAUGCUCUACGGUAAGGACAGCGACCGUUUAUAUUAGUACUCUGUGUGUGUGUGUGUGGUAAUAUUUAUAUAUAUAUAUAUAUAUAUAUAUAUAUAAUAUAUAUUUCAACGUACAAACUAUAUUGUACCUUAAUAACCUCUAAACGCAAUGGGUACAAGGAUAAUAUUUACACAGCCUAGAACCACUUGACCAGGUCCAGGAUCACGCGAUAUACCAUUUCUUUCAAAGAGGUUCAAAGAUUCGACGACAGUCAAGUCCAACCUAACCUCCUUGUUCUAAGUUGAACGCGCGACAAACGCGCGAUCAUAUUUAACGGUGCGACAAGUAUUUUUCACGUUCCUAUCAACUAGUUAUCAACAUUUAUACAUAAUACAACCAGGUUCCUCGCACGCACGCACUCUCAGCCCCACUCGUAGGAUUGCGUAACGUUUUCUUCGUUUUUUCUUUUUUUUUUUUUCCGUUCGAUUCUCUCGUAACAUAACCCCAUUUCAGCGGAUGGUCGGUUUAAUUCGUGUUAUCGUGUUAAAUAUCAAACAAAUUAUCAUCGCUCAAAAUCUAUCGUGAUAUAUACUCGUCUGAAUGAAAAAUACUUUCUUUUCAAUGAAAUAUUUUUGUGGAAAAAACUCUCAAUCGCUCUCUCUCACUCAGUUACAUAGCUCGAUAAAAAUACCCUGAAGACGUAGACAGAUCAUUAAAUAGAUGAUUACAUAUAAUAUAUAUAUAUAUAAUAAAUGAAUGAACAAUCAAAUGAGAAAAAUAUGAUUUCGAUUUGUACUUUGAAAUGAUACGAAGACAUUUCUCAAAUUCGAUAAAAAUGUUCUUGACGCUGCACAUUCCUACUGUGAUCGGGGUGCACCGCUGUGUUUCUAGAUCUUUUACGUACAAAGAAGCGUUUUUUUGCGCGGAUUCUCAAAUUUGUGUACGGUGAACACU